UGGGGAAUCUUGCACAAUGGAGGAAACUCUGAUGCAGCGACGCCGCGUGAGCGAUGAAGCCCUUCGGGGUGUAAAGCUCUUUCGACGGGAACGAUAAUGACGGUACCCGGAGAAGAAGCUGCGGCUAACUACGUGCCAGCAGCCGCGGUAAUACGUAGGCAGCAAGCGUUGUUCGGAAUUACUGGGCGUAAAGAGUGUGUAGGCGGUGCUCUAAGUUCGGUGUGAAAUCUCCCGGCUUAACUGGGAGGGUGCGCCGGAAACUGGAGUGCUUGAGCGCGGGAGAGGAAAGCGGAAUUCCUGGUGUAGCGGUGAAAUGCGUAGAUAUCAGGAGGAACACCUGUGGUGUAGACGGCUUUCUGGACCGUAGCUGACGCUGAGACACGAAAGCGUGGGUAGCAAACA
rnacentral:rRNA from 1 species